rnacentral:misc_RNA from 1 species
GAUGAAGAACGCAGUGAAAUGCGAUAAGUAAUGUGAAUUGCAGAAUUCAGUGAAUCAUCGAAUCUUUGAACGCACAUUGCGCCCAUUAGUAUUCUAGUGGGCAUGCCUGUUCGAGCGUCAUUUCAACCCUCAAGCCUUAGUUGCUUGGUGUUGGGAGCUUAUCUUGCCGAAAGGCGGGACAACUCCUUAAAUUUAUCGGCGGAGUCGCGGUGACCCCAAGCGUAGUAAAUUAUUUUUUCCUCGCUUUAGGUGUUAACGCUGGCUUUUCUAGCCGUUAAACCCCCCCUAAUAUUUUAAUGGUUGACCUCGGAUCAGGUAGGACUACCCGCUGAACUUAAGCAUAUCAAUAAGCGGAGGA